rnacentral:tRNA from 1 species
UCUUAGAUGACUGAGAAAAUAAGUGCUAGAUUUUUAAUCUAGAAACGGUAUAUAUUACCUCUAAGAG